GGGGCCUCUGAGGAAUAAGCUCCGGCUAACUCCGUGCCAGCGGCCGCGGUAAUACGGGGGGAGCAAGCGUUAUCCGGAAUGAUUGGGCGUAAAGCGUCUGUAAGUGGUUUUUUAAGUCCACUGCCCAAUACGUUGGCUCAACCAACGGCAGGCAGUGGAGUACUAAAGAACUAGAGUGCGGUAGAGGUAGAGGGAAUCCCUAGCGUAACAGUGAAAUGUGUAAAUUUUAUGGAGAACACCACCGGCCAAAGCGCUCUACUGCGCCGAGUCUGACCC
rnacentral:rRNA from 1 species